rnacentral:rRNA from 1 species
GAUGAACGCUGGCGGCGUGCCUAAUACAUGCAAGUCGAGCGAACAGACGAGGAGCUUGCUCCUCUGACGUUAGCGGCGGACGGGUGAGUAACACGUGGAUAACCUACCUAUAAGACUGGGAUAACUUCGGGAAACCGGAGCUAAUACCGGAUAAUAUAUUGAACCGCAUGGUUCAAUAGUGAAAGACGGUUUUGCUGUCACUUAUAGAUGGAUCCGCGCCGCAUUAGCUAGUUGGUAAGGUAACGGCUUACCAAGGCAACGAUGCGUAGCCGACCUGAGAGGGUGAACCGCCACACUGGAAGUGAGACACGGUCCAGACUCCUACGGGAGGCAGCAGUAGGGAAUCUUCCGCAAUGGGCGAAAGCCUGACGGAGCAACGCCGCGUGAGUGAUGAAGGUCUUCGGAUCGUAAAACUCUGUUAUUAGGGAAGAACAAAUGUGUAAGUAACUAUGCACGUCUUGACGGUACCUAAUCAGAAAGCCACGGCUAACUACGUG